UUGGUCACUUUUAAGUAUGAGGAUUCUAUCCAAACUUUGCCAAGUCUUCUAACUUUAUAUUUGAAAAUGUGCAUGCAUGAGCAUUCGCAAAGGGAGAGAAGUGAUAAAUGUGCUCAUUUGAGUUAGAGCCAAAUGCAGUGCAGGCAGCUGCUGUGAGUUUUGUUAUUACAGUCUGGGGCUGACAUAUGAGCUGGAAAAU
rfam:Oryctolagus cuniculus cont2.21480, whole genome shotgun sequence.